rnacentral:rRNA from 1 species
GAUGAACGCUGGCGGCGUGCCUAAUACAUGCAAGUCGAGCGAACGGACGAGAAGCUUGCCUCUCUGAUGUUAGCGGCGGACGGGUGAGUAACACGUGGAUAACCUACCUAUAAGACUGGGAUAACUUCGGGAAACCGGAGCUAAUACCGGAUAAUAUUUUGAACCGCAUGGUUCAAAAGUGAAAGACGGUCUUGCUGUCACUUAUAGAUGGAUCCGCGCUGCAUUAGCUAGUUGGUAAGGUAACGGCUUACCAAGGCAACGAUGCAUAGCCGACCUGAGAGGGUGAUCGGCCACACUGGAACUGAGACACGGUCCAGACUCCUACGGGAGGCAGCAGUAGGGAAUCUUCCGCAAUGGGAGAAAGCCUGACGGAGCAACGCCGCGUGAGUGAUGAAGGUCUUCGGAUCGUAAAACUCUGUUAUUAGGGAAGAACAUAUGUGUAAGUAACUGUGCACAUCUUGACGGUACCUAAUCAGAAAGCCACGGCUAACUACGUG